rnacentral:rRNA from 1 species
UACGUAGGGUGCAAGCGUUGCUCGGAAUUACUGGGCGUAAAGCGUUCGUAGGUGGUUUGUUAAGUCUGAUGUGAAAGCCCUGGGCUCAACCUGGGAAUUGCAUUGGAUACUGGCAGGCUAGAGUGCGGUAGAGGAUGGCGGAAUUCCCGGUGUAGCAGUGAAAUGCGUAGAGAUCGGGAGGAACAUCUGUGGCGAAGGCGGCCAUCUGGACCAGCACUGACACUGAGGCACGAAAGCGUGGGGAGCAAACAGG